CAGCACCCCGAGUGGUCGGGACGAUUAUUGGCCUAAAGCAUCCGUAGCCGGUUCUACAAGUCUUCCGUUAAAUCCACCUGCUUAACAGAUGGGCCGCGGAGGAUACUAUAAGACUAGGAGGCAGGAGAGGCAAGCGGUACUCAGUGGGUAGGGGUAAAAUCCGUUGAUCCAUUGAAGACCACCAGUGGCGAAGGCGGCUUGCCAGAAUGCGCUCGACGGUGAGGGAUGAAAGCUGGGGGAGCAAACCGGAUUAGAUACCCGAGUAGUCC
rnacentral:rRNA from 1 species